CGGAGGGAUCAUUAAAGAGUUCUAUAACUCCCAAACCCAUGUGAACAUACCUAACGUUGCCUCGGCAGGUCGCACCUACCUUGUAGCACCCUACCCUGUAGGGCCUACCCGGGAGGUGCGGGUAAGCCUGCCGGCGGCCCACCAAACUCUGUUUGAUAUUGAAUUCUGAACCUAUAACUAAAUAAGUUAAAACUUUCAACAACGGAUCUCUUGGUUCUGGCAUCGAUGAAGAACGCAGCGAAAUGCGAUAAGUAAUGUGAAUUGCAGAAUUCAGUGAAUCAUCGAAUCUUUGAACGCAUAUUGCGCCCAUUAGUAUUCUAGUGGGCAGGACCGUUCGAGCGUCAUUUCAACCCUUAAGCCUUCGUUGCUUAGUGUUGGGAGCCUACGGCAACGUAGCUCCUCAAAGUUAGUGGCGGAGUUGGUUCACACUCUAGACGUAGUAAUUUUUUAUCUCGCCUAUUAGUUGGACUAAUCCCCUGCCGUAAAACCCCCAAUUUAUCAAGGUUGACCUCGAAUCGGUUCAGACAAACUCGCUAAAUUGAAGCAUCUUAGUCAGCGAAGGAAAAGAAACCAACAGGGAUUGCCCUAGUAACGGCGAGUGAAGCGGCAACAGCUCAAAUUUGAAAUCUGGCCCUCGGGUCCGAGUUGUAAU
rnacentral:rRNA from 1 species